GGAAUAUUGCACAAUGGGCGCAAGCCUGAUGCAGCAACGCCGCGUGAAGGAUGAAGGUCUUCGGAUCGUAAACUUCUGUCCUUGGGGAAGAAGUCCUGACGGUACCCAUGGAGGAAGCCCCGGCUAACUACGUGCCAGCAGCCGCGGUAAUACGUAGGGGGCGAACGUUAUCCGGAAUUAUUGGGCGUAAAGAGUGCGUAGGUGGUUACCUAAGCGCAGGGUUUAAGGCUACGGCUUAACUGUAGUUCGCCCUGCGAACUGGGCAACUUGAGUGCAGGAGAGGAAAGCGGAAUUCCUAGUGUAGCGGUGAAAUGCUUAGAUAUUAGGAGGAACACCAGUGGCGAAGGCGGCUUUCUGGACUGAAACUGACACUGAGGCACGAAAGCGUGGGGAGCAAACA
rnacentral:rRNA from 1 species